rnacentral:lncRNA from 1 species
AAGGGCUUCUUGUCCCAGGGGAGGAAGGAGAAAGAGCAACUGCUUCAUUUUUGGUUAAAACAGGAACUUUCUUUUUUUUUUUAAAGGCUGCACUCCCUUGGGGUACAAAGUUCCGGGUGCAGGUGGGGGUGGGGGUGACUGGAGACAGUACCUUGGCAGUAAGCGCCCGGCUUCCUUCCAGGUCUGGGGAGCUGAGGAGCCUAAGGGCUUUGGAUAUUUGGAAGGGAGGGAAACGUUUUGAUUAUGUGUUUGUUUCGAGCUGGAGUCCCUGGGGGUCUGAUGAAAGGUUCCGUGAAGCCCUCAGCUGGUUCACUGUGGGGUCCAGACUCCUCUCUGGGCCUCCUGGGUGUCUCCAGCCUGCUUCCUCUGGCUUCCAAGAAUGCGGAUGGACCUCGGCAUUUAGUCUCUCAGCAGUUUCUUUCUCUUCCCCACCAGGCCUCAAAUCACCUCUGCUUUUCUUUGCCGGAGGGUCUUCAGGCUGCAGGGGCUCAUUUGGGUUUAUAGUCAGGCCUGUCUUCUUGCAGGCCUCUUCAGAAAAGAGAAUAUUCAGGAAGGCUGGGCCCGAGGUCAGCUCAAAUAAUAAUCAAAUGGUGUUCUUGACCCUGCCUCCCAUGUCUCCCAGGCUUUCUUCCUCCUGCAGCACCUUCAUGACCACCAGAGCCACCAAAUGGAAGAAGGCCUUCCUUCCAGGGCCCUGCUGGUUACACCACAGCCACAAUUUCUUAAAUUGGUUGAAAGGAUUAAGUUAGACAUACAAAAGCCUUGUUCAGAGGACUGCUCCACAGUAUUAGUUCCUCCUCCCUUCCCCCCAGCCUGGGUGUGGCCUUUUGCUAAAUACACUAAACAGCUGUUGGAAUCUCCAGAGCUUGGUUUACAAAGAUGAGUAAUGCAGCUUCUUCCCUCCAGGAAGUUUCUUUCCUUCUGGAAGUUUCUUCACUCCAGUUUCUCCCCUUAGUGUUUCUUAAACUCUUAAUUUCAGGACCAAUCCCUUGAAUAGCUACUGAAAAAUGCAUAUUCUCAAGCCCUAGCCCAGAGAAUCUAAUUUAUUAGGUCUGAGACAGGGUCUGGGGAUCUACUUUAAAAAAAAAAAAAAAAAAAGCAGCCUGGAGCUUCCUGGUGGCCUGGCCAUUAAGGAUUCAGUGUUGCCACUGCUAUGGCUUGGGUUCCAUCCCAGGUGGGGAAUUUAUGCAGGGGCCAAAAUUAAUGAAUAAAUAAUAAGGCAACCCAGAGGAUAGGAUAGAU